ACCUAGUGAUGUGGGAAUUUAUGGAGUAGGUCCCUAAAGCACUCCCACGUAUCGAAAAAAAGUUCCCCAUCCAUUCGUGAGAAACUUGUGAUGGCUCUUCGAAGAU